CUGGCUCAGAACGAACGCUGGCGGCGUGCUUAACACAUGCAAGUCGAACGCGAAAGCUUUCUUCGGAAAGCGAGUAGAGUGGCGCACGGGUGAGUAACGCGUAAGUAAUCUGCCCUGGCAUUCGGAAUAACCCACCGAAAGGUGUGCUAAUACCGGAUACGUCUGAUUUAAUCUCAUUAUAUCAGAGAAAGGUAGCCUCUGAAUCAAGCUACCGUGCAAGGAGGAGCUUGCGUACCAUUAGCUGGUUGGUAGGGUAACGGCCUACCAAGGCGACGAUGGUUAGCGGGUCUGAGAGGAUGAUCCGCCACACUGGAACUGAAACACGGACCAGACUCCUACGGGAGGCAGCAGUGAGGAAUAUUGCGCAAUGGGGGCAACCCUGACGCAGCGACGCCGCGUGGAUGAUGAAGGCCUUCGGGUUGUAAAAUCCUGUCAGAUGGGAAGAAAAUGUACGGUUAUUAACAGUGAUCGUAUUUGACGGUACCAUCAAAGGAAGCACCGGCUAACUCCGUGCCAGCAGCCGCGGUAAUACGGAGGGUGCGAGCGUUGUUCGGAAUUACUGGGCGUAAAGCGCGCGUAGGCGGCCAUGCAAGUCAGAUGUGAAAAGCCCACGGCUCAACCGUGGACGUGCAUUUGAAACUGGGUGGCUUGAGUACUUGGAGGGGGUGGUGGAAUUCCCGGUGUAGAGGUGAAAUUCGUAGAGAUCGGGAGGA
rnacentral:rRNA from 1 species